rnacentral:rRNA from 1 species
UACAGAGGGUGCAAGCGUUAAUCGGAAUUACUGGGCGUAAAGCGAGCGUAGUCGGUUUAUUUUAAGUCGGGUGUGAAAGCCCCCGGGCUCAACCUGGGAAUUGCAUUCGAUACUGGAUAGCUAGAGUUCGGCAGAGGGAAGCGGAAUUUCCGGUGUAGCGGUGAAAUGCGUAGAUAUCGGAAGGAACAUCAGUGGCGAAAGCGGCUUCCUGGACCCAGCACCGACGUUCAGGCACGAAAGCGUGGGAGCAAACAGGG